rnacentral:rRNA from 1 species
AUUGAACGCUGGCGGCAGGCCUAACACAUGCAAGUCGAACGGUAACAGGAAGAAGCUUGCUUCUUUGCUGACGAGUGGCGGACGGGUGAGAAAUGUCUGGGAAACUGCCUGAUGGAGGGGGAUAACUACUGGAAACGGUAGCUAAUACCGCAUAACGUCGCAAGACCAAAGAGGGGGACCUUCGGGCCUCUUGCCAUCGGAUGUGCCCAGAUGGGAUUAGCUAGUAGGUGGGGUAACGGCUCACCUAGGCGACGAUCCCUAGCUGGUCUGAGAGGAUGACCAGCCACACUGGAACUGAGACACGGUCCAGACUCCUACGGGAGGCAGCAGUGGGGAAUAUUGCACAAUGGGCGCAAGCCUGAUGCAGCCAUGCCGCAUGUAUGAAGAAGGCCUUCGGGUUGUAAAGUACUUUCAGCGGGGAGGAAGGGAGUAAAGUUAAUACCUUUGCUCAUUGACGUUACCCGCAGAAAAAGCACCGGCUAACUCCGUG